rnacentral:rRNA from 1 species
AUACGGAGGACGCGAGCGUUAUCCGGAUUCAUUGGGUUUAAAGGGUGCGCAGGCGGCCGUGCAAGUCAGCGGUGAAAGCCCGGGGCUCAACCCCGGAAGUGCCGUUGAUACUGCAUGGCUGGAAUGCGGUCGAGGCGGGCGGAACGGGGCGUGUAGCGGUGAAAAGCGUAGAUAUGCCAAAAAACGCCGAUAGCGGAGGCAGCUCGCGAAGCCAGGAUUGACGCUCGGGCACGAAAGCGUGGGGAUCGAACAGGAUUAGAUACCCUGGUAGUCCACGCCGUAAACGAUGGGCGCUCGUCGUCGGCGGCAGACAGUCGGCGGCCAAGCGAAAGCGAUAAGCGCCCCACCUGGGGAGUACGGUCGCAAGGCUGAAACUCAAAUGAAUUGACGGGG